UUUGUCUCUGUACCUUCAGACCCUCAGACAAAGGCAGCUGAUGCUCCAUGAUUCCCCAAGGCCACGCGUGUCUUAAUGAGGACCCGGAAGGAGCAUCUGAAGAGUCAGACGUGUAAGUGGAAACUUACCUGGACCAAUGAAUACCUUGUGUUUGCCUUUGGCACAAAUUUACAUGGACUUAUGCUUUUGCCAUUUGGCCUACUUGAAUUAAUCCACAGAUGUCAAACCAAAUUAAAAAAUUUCCUGUAUGAUUCUUAUUAAAAAAUAUAAGUAAGUAUAAUUUUUACAUGUGUACAAAGAAACUAAAAUCCAUUUUUCUUGGUUGGCUUGAACAUUUUCCUUGAUUUUUUUUUUUACCUGAAAUAACUAUAUUUAAAAAAAAUUUUUUAAGAUUUUAUUUAUUUAUUUAUUUAUUUAUUUAUUUAUUUAUUUAUUCAUUCAUUCAUUCAUUCAUUCGUGAGAGACCCAGAGAGAUGCAGAGACACAAGCAGAAGUAGAAGCAGGCUCCCUGCGGGGAGCCUGAUGCAGGACUCGAUCCCAGGACCCCAGGAUCAUGCCCUGAGCCAAAGGCAGACACUCAACCGCUGAGCUCCCCAGGCGUCCCUAAUAUCCUGAUGUUAUACUUAAAAGAUUGAAGAGGUAACCCAAAGAAAAGUUAACAUAUUCUCCUAAGGCUUAGAAGAGCUGAUGAACACUGAGUAAUAAUGUAUAGAAUUGCAGAAUCACUAUAUUGUACACCUGAAACUAAUAUAACACUAUGUGUCAAUUAUACUGGAAUUAAAAUUUAAAAACUUAAUAAUAAAAAAAAGGUUAACUAGACUGGUUUCCCA
rnacentral:lncRNA from 12 species